rnacentral:rRNA from 1 species
GACGAACGCUGGCGGCGUGCUUAACACAUGCAAGUCGAACGGAAAGGCCCUGCUUUUGUGGGGUGCUCGAGUGGCGAACGGGUGAGUAACACGUGAGUAACCUGCCCUUGACUUUGGGAUAACUUCAGGAAACUGGGGCUAAUACCGGAUAGGAGCUCCUGCUGCAUGGUGGGGGUUGGAAAGUUUCGGCGGUUGGGGAUGGACUCGCGGCUUAUCAGCUUGUUGGUGGGGUAGUGGCUUACCAAGGCUUUGACGGGUAGCCGGCCUGAGAGGGUGACCGGCCACAUUGGGACUGAGAUACGGCCCAGACUCCUACGGGAGGCAGCAGUGGGGAAUAUUGCACAAUGGGCGGAAGCAUGAUGCAGCAAAGCGGCGUGCGGGAUGACGGCCUUCGGGUUGUAAACCGCUUUCGACUGUGACGAAGCGUGAGUGACGGUAAUGGGUAAAGAAGCACCGGCUAACUACGUG